rnacentral:rRNA from 1 species
AUACGGAAGGUCCGGGCGUUAUCCGGAUUUAUUGGGUUUAAAGGGAGCGCAGGCGGGGAGCUAAGCGUGACGUGAAAUGUAACCGCUCAACGGCUGAACUGCGUCGCGAACUGGCUUUCUUGAGGGAGUACGACGUCAGCGGAAUUCGUGGAGUAGCGGUGAAAUGCUUAGAUAUCACGAAGAACCCCGAUUGCGAAGGCAGCUGACGAGUCCUUUACUGACGCUAAAGCUCGAAGGUGCGGGUAUCGAACAGGAUUAGAUACCCUGGUAGUCCGCACGGUAAACGAUGGAUGCCCGCUGUCGGCGAUAUAUUGUCGGCGGCCAAGCGAAAGCGUUAAGCAUCCCACCUGGGGAGUACGCCGGCAACGGUGAAACUCAAAGGAAUUGGCGGGG